GAUGAACGCUAGCGGCAGGCUUAAUACAUGCAAGUCAAGGGGGGUAGCAAUACAACCGGCGCACGGGUGAGUAACACGUACACAACAUACCAUAUACUGAGGUAUAGCUUCGGGAAACUGAAGGUAAUCCCUCGUAGUAUUGUGAAAGGGCAUCUUUUACAAUUAAAGUUUCGACGGUAUAUGAUUGGUGUGCGUUUGAUUAGCUAGUUGGUAGGGUAACGGCCUACCAAGGCAACGAUCAAUAGCUGGCGUGAGAGCGCGACCAGCCACACUGGAACUGAGACACGGUCCAGACUCCUACGGGAGGCAGCAGUAGGGAAUAUUGGACAAUGGGCGAAAGCCUGAUCCAGCCAUGCCGCGUGAUAGAUGAAGGCCCUCUGGGUUGUAAAUAUCUUUUAUCUGGGAAGAAACACUUCUAUUCUUAGAAGCUUGACGGUACCAGAGGAAUAAGCACCGGCUAACUCCGUG
rnacentral:rRNA from 1 species